rnacentral:rRNA from 1 species
UAAGGAAUAUUGCGCAAUGGACGAAAGUCUGACGCAGCGACGCCGCGUGGGGGAUGAAGGUCUUCGGAUUGUAAACCCCUUUCGGGAGGGAAGAUGGAGUGGGUAACCACUUGGACGGUACCUCCAGAAGCAGCCACGGCUAACUUCGUGCCAGCAGCCGCGGUAAUACGAAGGUGGCAAGCGUUGUUCGGAUUCACUGGGCGUACAGGGAGCGUAGGCGGUUGGGUAAGCCCUCCGUGAAAUCUCCGGGCCUAACCCGGAAAGUGCAGAGGGGACUGCUCAGCUAGAGGAUGGGAGAGGAGCGCGGAAUUCCCGGUGUAGCGGUGAAAUGCGUAGAGAUCGGGAGGAAGGCCGGUGGCGAAGGCGGCGCUCUGGAACAUUUCUGACGCUGAGGCUCGAAAGCGUGGGGAGCAAACAGGAUUAGAUACCCAAGUAGUCCCUGAGCGGGCUGGCAAGGCGCAU